rnacentral:rRNA from 1 species
AUUGAACGCUGGCGGCAGGCUUAACACAUGCAAGUCGAGCGGGGGAAGGUAGCUUGCUACUGGACCUAGCGGCGGACGGGUGAGUAACGCUUAGGCACAUAUCCAGUAGCGGGGGAUAACCUGUCGAAAGAUAGGCUAAUACCGCAUACGACCUACGGGUGAAAGCGGAAGAACCCAGGGCUUCGCACUAUUGGAGAUGCUGAUGUCGGAUUAGCUAGUUGGCGGGGUAACGGCCCACCAAAGCGACGAUCCGUAGCUGGUCUGAGAGGACGACCAGCCACACUGGAACUGAGACACGGUCCAGACGCCUACGGGAGGCAGCAGUGGGGAAUUUUGGACAAUGGGCGCAAGCCUGAUCCAGCCAUGCCGCGUGAGUGAAGAAGGCCUUCGGGUUGUAAAGCUCUUUCGGCGGGAACGAAAUGGUUCGUGCUAAUACCACGGACUAAUGACGGUACCCGAAGAAGAAGCACCGGCUAACUACGUGCCAGCCGCCGCGGUAA